rnacentral:rRNA from 1 species
UUCUUGCGGUCAUGACGCGCGUCCUAUCUUUAUCACCGACUCAUACGGCUGUGUUCUAGUCGCUANCUCCGUCUUAUAUCGCACCCCCUGACUGCUUUCCCCGUUCAAUGCCGGGUACCCUCCUCCUUCAUUGUUGCGCUCCCGCGUUCGUCCUCCCCUCCCCUCUGCCCAAUCCAAGGUCCCCCCUCCGCCUUUCCCCGCCGCCCCCCAACACUCUUCAGGUCAUGUUCAGCUUGUACGUGCCGUCCUGCUCUUCCGCUUUCGGAUCCCUAGCGGCCUCACUCAGCGGCAAACGCUCCGCAGCGCGCUCCUCCUCCCUUUGUCGGCUCCUUCUCCUUCUUAACACUCCUUCCCGUGGCUACCGGAAUUCCGGCCUGCAUCCUCUCUACCGUCUGACAUCAUGGUCUACCUUAAGUCCCCCACCAGCGCAACCCCUGCAUGUAGUUUCCACUCGCAAGAGGGAACUCUAAGUGGACUGCUCCGGAUAACGGAGAGGAAGGUGGGGAUGCCCUCCCCUCCGCAUGGCGGUAUGUACAGGGCUACACACGUGUUACAAUGCAGGGCACAAAAAAAAGCCAACCCGCGAGGGGGAGCUAAUCGGAAAAAACUCUGCUCAGUUCGGAUUGCAGUCUGCAACUCGACUGCAUGAAGCCGGAAUCGCUAGUAAUGGCGUAUCAGAUCGACGCCGUGAAUACGUUCCCGGGCCUUGUACACACCGCCCGUCACAUCACGAAAGUGAGCUGUACUAGAAGUCGCCGUGCCAACCGCAAGGAGGCAAGCGCCCAAGGUAUGACUCAUGAUUGGGGUGAAGUCGUAACAAGGUAAAUGCCA